UCCCAGUAUGAAACAUAUUUAAUAAGCUCUUUAAUCUCAUUCCCACUUAAUAAGAGAUUGUGCCACUUUCAUUUCAGAUUUGGCUGAUGCUGUGAUUGAAAGUCUUCCAUACGUUGGAGCGAUGGCAGUCUCAAAUCUUGAAGCUUGACAGUCUCUAGUUCCUCUUGGAAGCGUUGAAGAACUAUUGGCAGCGUAUGAUUCGCAGCGUCGGGAGCUUCCACCACCGGUCACGGUGUGGGAAUGGGGAUGGACAAAAAGUGCUGAAACUUAGAAUAAUUGUAGUGUAGUGAUAUGAAGAAAAUAAUACAUUUUUUUUGCAGUUAUUUUAUUCCUUGGUGCCUGCACAAAGCCUCCUCGGCUGUCCAUGGUGACUGAAUACGUGGAAAUGGGAUCAUUGUACCAUUUAAUCCAUGUGAGUGGGCUGAAAAAGAGACUCAGCUGGAGAAGGAGAGUGAAAAGGAUAUGUGAUAUAUGCAGUAUUUCCCAGCCAAGCUGAGAUGGUGAACAUUCCAAAUUGAAGACAUUGAUUUGAGAAAUCACAGAUUUUAUUUUAUUUUUCUUUUUGUGAUUGAUUCAUGCACUUGUAUAAAAUACAACAGAGAUUUGUGGGUUCUUUGUAAAUCCACUGAUGUGUUCUAGAAAUGUUCUAUCAAUAAACAAUUUAAAUGCAUUUGGCCAAGAUAAAACA